rnacentral:rRNA from 1 species
GGGUUGUGAGGUUAAGCGACUAAGCGUACACGGUGGAUGCCCUGGCAGUCAGAGGCGAUGAAGGACGUGCUAAUCUGCGAUAAGCGUCGGUAAGGUGAUAUGAACCGUUAUAACCGGCGAUUUCCGAAUGGGGAAACCCAGUGUGAUUCGUCACACUAUCAUUAACUGAAUCCAUAGGUUAAUGAGGCGAACCGGGGGAACUGAAACAUCUAAGUACCCCGAGGAAAAGAAAUCAACCGAGAUUCCCCCAGUAGCGGCGAGCGAACGGGGAGCAGCCCAGAGCCUGAAUCAGUGUGUGUGUUAGUGGAAGCGUCUGGAAAGGCGCGCGAUACAGGGUGACAGCCCCGUACACAAAAAUGCACAUACUGUGAGCUCGAUGAGUAGGGCGGGACACGUGGUAUCCUGUCUGAAUAUGGGGGGACCAUCCUCCAAGGCUAAAUACUCCUGACUGACCGAUAGUGAACCAGUACCGUGAGGGAAAGGCGAAAAGAACCCCGGCGAGGGGAGUGAAAAAGAACCUGAAACCGUGUACGUACAAGCAGUGGGAGCCUCUUUAUGGGGUGACUGCGUACCUUUUGUAUAAUGGGUCAGCGACUUAUAUUCUGUAGCAAGGUUAACCGAAUAGGGGAGCCGAAGGGAAACCGAGUCUUAACUGGGCGUUAAGUUGCAGGGUAUAGACCCGAAACCCGGUGAUCUAGCCAUGGGCAGGUUGAAGGUUGGGUAACACUAACUGGAGGACCGAACCGACUAAUGUUGAAAAAUUAGCGGAUGACUUGUGGCUGGGGGUGAAAGGCCAAUCAAACCGGGAGAUAGCUGGUUCUCCCCGAAAGCUAUUUAGGUAGCGCCUCGUGAAUUCAUCUCCGGGGGUAGAGCACUGUUUCGGCAAGGGGGUCAUCCCGACUUACCAACCCGAUGCAAACUGCGAAUACCGGAGAAUGUUAUCACGGGAGACACACGGCGGGUGCUAACGUCCGUCGUGAAGAGGGAAACAACCCAGACCGCCAGCUAAGGUCCCAAAGUCAUGGUUAAGUGGGAAACGAUGUGGGAAGGCCCAGACAGCCAGGAUGUUGGCUUAGAAGCAGCCAUCAUUUAAAGAAAGCGUAAUAGCUCACUGGUCGAGUCGGCCUGCGCGGAAGAUGUAACGGGGCUAAACCAUG